UACGUAGGGUGCAAGCGUUGUCCGGAAUUAUUGGGCGUAAAGAGCUCGUAGGCGGUUUGUCGCGUCUGCUGUGAAAUCCGGAGGCUCAACCUCCGGCCUGCAGUGGGUACGGGCAGACUAGAGUGCGGUAGGGGAAAUUGGAAUUCCUGGUGUAGCGGUGGAAUGCGCAGAUAUCAAGUGGAACACCAGUGGCGAAGGCGAGUCCCUGGACAACUCCUGACACUGAGGCACGAAAGCUAGGGGAGCAAACAGG
rnacentral:rRNA from 1 species